rnacentral:rRNA from 1 species
UGUAUUUAUUAGAUAAAAAACCAAUGCCCUUCGGGGCUUUUUGGUGAUUCAUGAUAACUUUACGGAUCGCAUAGCCUUGCGCUGGCGACGGUUCAUUCAAAUUUCUGCCCUAUCAACUUUCGAUGGUAAGGUAUUGGCUUACCAUGGUUUCAACGGGUAACGGGGAAUUAGGGUUCGAUUCCGGAGAGGGAGCCUGAGAAACGGCUACCACAUCCAAGGAAGGCAGCAGGCGCGCAAAUUACCCAAUCCCGACACGGGGAGGUAGUGACAAUAAAUACUGAUACAGGGCUCUUUUGGGUCUUGUAAUUGGAAUGAGUACAAUUUAAACCUCUUAACGAGGAACAAUUGGAGGGCAAGUCUGGUGCCAGCAGCCGCGGUAAUUCCAGCUCCAAUAGCGUAUAUUAAAGUUGUUGCAGUUAAAAAGCUCGUAGUUGAAACUUGGGCCUGGCUGGCGGGUCCGCCUCACCGCGUGCACUCGUCCGGCCGGGCCUUCCUUCUGAAGAACCUCGUGCCCUUCACUGGGCGUGCUGGGGAACCAGG